rnacentral:rRNA from 1 species
GAGCCCAACCUCCCACCCGUGUUUACUGUAACCUUAGUUGCUUCGGCGGGCCCGCCUUUAAGGCCGCCGGGGGGCAUCAGCCCCCGGGCCCGCGCCCGCCGGAGACACCACGAACUCKGUCUGAUCUAGUGAAGUCGGAGUUGAUUGUAUCGCAAUCAGUGAAAACUUUCAACAAUGGAUCUCUUGGUUCCGGCAUCGAUGAAGAACGCAGCGAAAUGCGAUAACUAGUGUGAAUUGCAGAAUUCCGUGAAUCAUCGAGUCUUUGAACGCACAUUGCGCCCCCUGGUAUUCCGGGGGGCAUGCCUGUCCGAGCGUCAUUGCUGCCCAUCAAGCACGGCUUGUGUGUUGGGUCGUCGUCCCCUCUUCGGGGGGGACGGGCCCCAAAGGCAGCGGCGGCACCGCGUCCGAUCCUCGAGCGUAUGGGGCUUUGUCACCCGCUCUGUAGGCCCCGGCCGGCGCUUGCCGAACGCAAAACAACCAUUCUUUCCAGGUUGACCUCGGAUCAGGUAGGGAUACCCGCUGAACUUAAGCAUAUCAAUAAGCGGAGGAAM